GAUGAACGCUGGCGGCGUGCUUAACACAUGCCAGUCGAACGGAAAGGCUCCUGCUUGCCGGGGUACUCGAGUGGCGAACGGGUGAGUAACACGUGGGUGAUCUGCCCUGCACUUCGGGAUAAGCCUGGGAAACUGGGUCUAAUACCGGAUAGGACCACAUUUUGGAUGGUGUGGUGGAAAGUUUUUCGGUGUGGGAUGAGCUCGCGGCCUAUCAGCUUGUUGGUGGGGUAAUGGCCUACCAAGGCGUCGACGGGUAGCCGACCUGAGAGGGUGUACGGCCACAUUGGGACUGAGAUACGGCCCAGACUCCUACGGGAGGCAGCAGUGGGGAAUAUUGCACAAUGGGCGCAAGCCUGAUGCAGCGACGCCGCGUGGGGGAUGACGGCCUUCGGGUUGUAAACUCCUUUCGCUAGGGACGAAGCGCAAGUGACGGUACCUGGAGAAGAAGCACCGGCUAACUACGUG
rnacentral:rRNA from 1 species